CACGUAGGGGGCGAGCGUUGUCCGGAUUUAUUGGACGUAAAGAGCUCGUAGGCGGUUUCGUAAGUCGGAUGUGAAAACUCCAGGCUCAACUUGGAGACGCCAUUCGAUACUGCGAUGACUUGAGUCCGGUAGGGGAGUGUGGAAUUCCUGGUGUAGCGGUGAAAUGCGCAGAUAUCAGGAGGAACACCGGCGGCGAAGGCGGCACUCUGGGCCGGUACUGACGCUGAGGAGCGAAAGCGUGGGUAGCAAACAGG
rnacentral:rRNA from 1 species